CACACAUGCAAACGAUGUGGGAGAAAAUCUUUACUACAAAAUCCCUUUCAUGGGUCUGGAGGAGCUGGCUGCUUGCACAGUGGGAUGUGGCAUGUGCAAUAACCUCUGACUUUGUUGGGAAACAGUCCCAUGCACUGCUGUUUGCUUUAGCCCCUGAUGGCUAACUUCUGCUUCAGGAGCUCUGGGCUGGAGCCACUGUACUGUACUUCAUAGCGCUUCACGGUUGCUGAGAUUCCAUCCUGGCAAAUCUGCCUGUGUCUUUGUCCACUAAGGACCUGAGAAGAAUUUAUGGCUCUCUCCAGGUGGGGCACCUUCAACAGAAGACCACAGCAGUCAAUAUAGUGGGAAAUAUAGGAGACGUAGCCCCCACCCCAACCUCGUAGUCCUGCUCCUCUUCCUCGCUCUACACUCAGCAGGAUCGAUAGCAGCGGCUAGAACCUGGUGGAAGUCCGGCUCCACCAUGAUCACGGCAGAAGGAGACUCUGCAUGGCAGGAAAAGAAAUCAUCUCUUAAAAAAAAUCAAUUAUUCUUGCAAUGUCACCCUGUGGCUAUUUUCUUGUUUAUGGAAACAGAUUGUGUUGAAACACAACUUCCCAUAGCCCUCUACCUUUUCCCUAGCCGGGAUCAACUCUGAGCAAAGAUAAAGACCAACACUUCACACAGCCUCUACAGGGCUGAGUCUCCCCAUGGGUCUCUGCCCCCCUUUCCGCUAAGACCGAUUGCGCCACAUUAUGACAGCUGCUUGGACCACAACAUAGCUGAAUGGGCUGAACAUGUGGCAAAAAAGGCUGUAACCCUGCAGUCAUGGGUUUCAGAUAUGGAAUGUCUUCAAAAGCGAGGGUGCUGCUGGGAGCUAACCUGGCCGUUUGGGGAGUGGCAGCUCCAGUCUUCCUCUUCCUCAGAGUGCCUAGGAGGAUCCCAGUGCUGACGGGAAGCGGAAGGCGAGGGGGGAGGGCCAUGAAGCAACAGAGCAGAUCUGCAGCCCCCAAGUGCUCCUGUGUGUCCCUGCUGUCUGUCUCUGCAUGCAUCUGCAUCAUGCAUGAGUCCAGGUUCAUAUCACAGUAUGCUCUCGACUAAGCUGGACAAUAUCCCCCCAGUUGAUUACCUUUCUUCUAUAUGCUGCCUGCUGAAUACAAUGCCAUUCAAUCCCAGAAUGCAAGCAACCACUGAGAAGGUAAAAAAAAAAGCAUCCUUACUAAGUAAGUAUAACUGCAUUCAGAGACAUAGCUACAGGACAAGUAUGACUGGCAAUGGCCGGGGGCCCUGAGCUGGGGGUGGGUGAUUACAUAGUACAUUGCAAUGACUAAUCUGCUUUAUUUGUGUAUUCUGUUUUUCACACGAGUAAAAAUAAAGGACCUAUGUUUAUUAAAUUUUCUGUGUUGAUAUCAUGGGGGUUUCUUGCCUAGGGCCUCCAGAGUCUCUAGAAUCUCGUCUGAGUAAACAUAGCGGGUAUCUAUGAAACGGAGGGAGGGGAAGAACUGAAAAGGAUAUACUUUAUGGGGGUGGUCUGUGGCUCUGAUAUACUUUAUGGGGGUGGUCUGUGGCUCUGAUAUACCUUAUGGGGGUGGUCUGUGGCUCAGAUAUACUUUAUGGGGGUGGUCUGUGGCUCUGUGGGUUUGGCUGCUUUGCCUGUGAAUGGAAGGUCAUGGGUUUAAAUCCCAGGGUCAGCAGAGGGAUUUCACCGCUUAGUCCUUCAGCAAGGCCUGUAACCCCCAGGACUGCCUGACCCUGCCCUUCUGUCACUUUGAUAAGUAAAUUUAUACUUUCAUAUUAAAAUGUGUGACUGGCAACAUUUGUAUAAAAUGUUUACAUGCCAUGCAAUGUCAGCGAGACUGAAAACGAGCCACGCUAGACUUGACUUUGCGUGUGAGGUCAUACCUCGCAUCUCACAAGCCGGCACAUUAGGAGGCUGCUUUGUCCAAAAAGCCAUCAUUUCCACUAACUGGAAAAUUAGCACAUUCUGCUUCAAAACUUGCCAUCCCCGGAUGAAUAAUUUAUUAUGACCUUUUAAAAUAUUUAAAAUUAUUGCAGCCGGUUUUGCAAGUGUAGCCAGUGUUUGGAAGCAAGGUGGAAAAAAAGAAUGCAAGAAAACAAAAAAUUACCAAAAAAAGUCAAAUAAAAUAAGGUUCAGGGUAACACAGUAAAGAACAGGUAGAUUUAUGGGAACUCAGAAGGUGACUAAUGCUUGCUGCACCGCCAUGAAAUGAGGUACUCGGAGACACUGAGAACAGUAUUCACACAUAUAAGACUUUCACCCCAUGCAAAACCAUACAGAAGGAAAUAACCUUUAGUUCCCUGUUUUACUAGCCCUGGAUUAUUCCUGCUACAAGCAAGGCUACUAGACCCCAGUGACUAAACUCUGCCCUUUUAAGUUCUCUGGAAAAUCCUUUACGCAUCUGAGUGUCAUAAUCUCCACCCAACACCCCCUCCUCCACACCUCCAUUCUCCCUUCUGCAUUAAAUUCAGACAUCCUUGAACAGCUCUGUGUGACUGGGCCGCUCAACAGAAGGGCCAGGGUUUGAGUUUUAUUAAGAGUGACCUUCAAUAUGCUGCUGCUUCGUACAAUAUGUCACUUGAAACACCGGUCGCCACAGGCCCUCGGCACGACACAGCUCACCCGCUCCCCCCACCUCACCCGCUCCCCCCCACCUCUCGUGCUCAGCAUAUCUGCUGGCUUCAGCAGCCAGACAUCUUUGAGGAGGAGAUUCGGGUACAGAAAACCCCAAUGGGAUCACACCAGGAGGUACUGCGUUUUAAACUCUACCAUUAAUAUACACAGUGAAACUUAAACAUUAAUGUAUCACAUGCCAAGAAAAAAAAAAAAUUAAAAUGGCCGCCUUGCUCAGUGAGACAUCACCCGCUGAGUACACAUAUUCGAUGGCUGCGUUCCCUGUCAUUUCCUUCUUCGCAAAACUACUUCCUAUUAACCCGCACCAUUUCCCUGGGCCAUGAUUGAUAGGAGGGUUAAGGUAUUUUCUGACUCAGUAACCCGGCUGACUAUAAUUCCAUUUCGGGGACUGGGAACCCCCCGGCUCCUGUCGGUGCGGACUGCAUCCGCCUGUCAGGGUGUUAGUGGAAAAACAAGCCAUCUUUAGCGUUCCGUCAUGCCUGAUGUGUGAAAAACGUGACUCAUCAUCUCAAGACGAUGUAGUUUAUAUUAAUUGUCAAAGGCUACAUCUUUGUGUCGAAUGUUAUCCUAAUUAUUGCUGGCUUGCAUGUCACAGAAUGUUGUUCUGAGGUAUUAUAUAUCCUUUUCGUUGCAUAAUAGCUAAUUGAAUUUUUGUGAGAUUUCGGUUGCCAUUUUUUUCCACACAAGUCACACCUUAGGUGUCUCUCUUUUGGCUUCCUCCUUCCUCCUGUCCUAGUGCUCCUGCCGCUCUUGGCAGACGUGGAGGAAACAUCGUGGAGACAGCGAGUGGAAAGCGAUGUUACCUUUUAAAGGUCCUUCAAAUCUGCGAUUCUACUUGUCAUUGCCUGUGCGCCCAGCCCAUAAAUCCACUUUGUAUCUCGGGAGAACAGCGAGUGACGCUUCCGGGUUCUUCUUCACAGAAGGAAUCCUCCCGUCUAUCCAAUAAUACUCUCCUAUGAAUUUCACGCACGCCGUCAGUUGCCGAGGCAAUGUAAGGUUAAGCAGAAGCUGAAGGCACUUCUGGAGGACACUGUCCGUGCAUUGACCGCUCAACAUUCGAAAGCCGUUUUUUUCUGUGUUUCACGCGCACAUUUAGCAGCCAAUCGAGGGCGUUCAUCUACGUGCGUCUUACGGUGACGCGGGGAGCCACAGGAGAGCCGGCUGCCGAGAGAAAAGUGCCGAUAUGGCUCAACGGAAACGCUAUUAGGGGCCACAUAUCAAACACGUCUGGGGCCUCCCCGAGGGACCAACAUUGCUGAUCCAUCUACGUCUGAGUCCUCAUGCAGUACUUCAGGGUUCUGAUAUGGCCGUGCUGUUGGCAACAUCAGUGUCGCCACACACAGCAGGAGCAGAGAGAUGAAAACGCAGCAGACAGAAAGCAAAUAGGCUGGGAUGAGGAGGACAAGGCAGACAGAGCUGCAGAUGGAUGCCAUGAUAGAGAGGCACGCAUAGUCAGACUGACAGACUCAUUUAUAUGGCGUACAAUCAGCCUGCACCAUCGAGACGUGCUUCUCCAGCUCCUCCAUGGCCUUUUCUUUCCCCAUUUUGCGGGAGAUUAAUGAGGAUUAAUUAUGCAAAUGAAGCGUCCAGGAUUUUCCAAGCCAAAAAAAAAAAACCUUCAUUUUUCAUACAACAAUGAGAGCAUCGGCUAUUAGAGCGAGGAAGUGAUUUGCGAUGGAGUCGGCACUUACACAGGUUCCGAUAUUCCCCUGUAAUUUUGGCAUUGUCCUGCCUAGACGUGAACACGGUGAUAUCCCCUAUUCAUAUAUUUCAAUCAAUUUUAGCUGCCAGUCUCCUACAUUUUUGGGUGCUUUCUAUCACACAGAAUGAACCUGUAUAUAUAAAGCAUGCAAACACAUGUAUGUAUGAUUACUGUGUUGGACUCCACAUUGACUCUCACAUUAACGCAAUUCUUCAGUACAGCAAAACUCAAAAUCAAGUUUUUUUCCAAAAAACUUUGUAUUCUAUUUAAGUUAAUUCAAGCAUUUUGCCUCACAAUGUUCUGUUUUUAGUAGCUCAGUAUAACCUUUUUUUUCGCAACACCAUAUAAUUUUGAUCUAUUUGCACAGAGUAAUGGAGUAAUUCACACUAAGCACCUGAUUAAAUUGUACGACGCCACCUCUUGGGACUUGAACCAGCACUCUUUAGGUUCUUAUGGUUUUAUUCACUACCUGCUGUAUAAGCACAUAUGGCCAUUGUUCCUUUGUUAAUUAAAACUUCUUUUUCUCCUUGCAUAAGUCAUUGCAAAGUAUCACUUUUAUUAGCAGGACAUCUAUAGUUAAUAAUUGUUGCUAAUUACUGUAGCAAAGCAGCUGUUUAUCAUUUUAAGCAGCUGAAUUUAUACAUACAUUUUUAUGUUGAAAAGCUGAAACCCUUAAAAGGUAAUUGUGGUAUAAUCCUCAAAUAAUACUGUGGUAUAUUUCAUGGUGUAUUGUACUAUGGUUUUUCUGUAGUAUUACUGAAUUCUGAAAGUUCCCGUUUUUGGUUUUCAAACCAAGAUGAUUAACCCUGGGGCUAUUCAUAAUUGACUGGUGAUCAUCAGCCUAGGCAGAAAAUAAAGCGUUUAUCCACGGACUACGGGAAAUAACGGUGACAGCAUUGUUGGCCUCCAAAGAACCAGGAUACAAGUCCUUCCAGAAAGCAGACAUGGGGGAUCAUAAAGGACACAAAGGUCCUGCUCCUGGAGCUGUGGUGAUGAGAGCUGCAAGCCGGAGGGACUGAGUCAGAGUUGGGCCAUUUGCGCACCAUCGCGCUGAGGUUAAAGAAGGGAUGGGCUCCAAGACCCUACGACCCUGCAUAAGACAUACACUCCAUAGUGGGUAGAGAAGAUGGAUGGAUGGAUGGAUGGAUGGAUUACAUCAAAAAGAAAAUAAAACUUUGCUAACUAUAUAUUUGCUUGUUUAGUUUUUGUUUUCUAAGGUAAGUCCUGCAGCACUGAAAGCCUCCCACUUACAUCGGAUGCUUACCAAGUCAAAUCUUUAAUAUAUUGGUCUGAUAUUAAUAAUAAAAAAAAAAUUUGGUGGGAACACAUAAAAAUGACUGCCUUUUCAAUACUGUUGAAUGCAAUCUUUGAAGCAACAUCCUUCAGUGAAUAUAUAUAUUUUUCUUUUCACAGCGCCUUUACAUAAAGUACCACGCAAAAGUCUUUUGCAGUCAAAGAAAUGUUUAAAGCUACUUAUCAGGGUAGAAAGUUUAUAUUUGCACAGAAAAAAACACAAUUUAACAUUAUAACAUGUGCAAAUUAAGAAUAACACAAUAAAAGUUAAAAAGAAUUUGUUCUUUUCUCCAAAAAGUUACAGAUAUAUUUUUGGAUGGCUAGAGGAACACAGCUCAAAUAACCCUAACCUCUCUUCAGGGGCACCACAGCCAUUCUGUGUAUUUAUUAAAUUUACCCAACAGCACAGUUAAUUAAUUAAUCAAAUUUGUUAACUUGAUAAGGUUUUGAUUAGCCAAACAAGGCCUGCUGGUGGUCAAAAUGGAUGUAUUGGACAGUUGCUGGAGAUACUGGGGUGACUUUAGGAGAAGUUUUGAAAGAGAUAAGCUGACAUGCUUUGACAGUUUCACACAAACAUGGACAUAAUUUAAACAUCAUUUGCUUUUAAGUCUUUUGCGCAGUACCGUCCACACACACACAUACAAACAAGACAGGGAGCAAGUUAGUAAAACGCAAUGUUCUCAGACCAAGAAGCCACACAGUCUGCCAAGUCAAGAAUGACAAAAGGCUUCAAAGGAACAUUCCAGGUCUGCGAGAGUGAUGGGAAAAUUACUGCCGUGCAGCAGCUUCCAGCUGAGCAAAGUCCCCCCCGACCGCUGAUUGAAGGUUUUCAGGAUUUUCAGCACUCUGCUGCACAGUGCCUGGUUUUCAUCUGGUCAGGCCCAAUCAUAAGGUCUUUGCACACAUGAUUAAGAUUCUCUGCAUUUUCUACAGGUUACAGCA